rnacentral:rRNA from 1 species
UACGUAGGGUGCGAGCGUUAAUCGGAAUUACUGGGCGUAAAGCGCACGUAGGUGGCUGGGUAAGUUGGAUGUGAAAUCCCCGGGCUUAACUUGGGAAUUGCAUUCAAGACUGCCUUGCUAGAGUGUGGAAGAGGGAAGCGGAAUUCCAGGUGUAGCGGUGAAAUGCGUAGAUAUCUGGAGGAACAUCAGUGGCGAAGGCGGCUUCCUGGUCCAACACUGACACUGAGGUGCGAAAGCGUGGGGAGCAAACAGG